rnacentral:rRNA from 1 species
GUGGUUUAAUUCGAAGCAACGCGAAGAACCUUACCAGGUCUUGACAUCCCCUGACAACCGAGAGAUCGGCGUUCCCCUCGGGGGACAGGGUGACAGGUGGUGCAUGGUUGUCGUCAGCUCGUGUCGUGAGAUGUUGGGUUAAGUCCCGCAACGAGCGCAACCCUCGACCUUAGUUGCCAGCAUUCAGUUGGGCACUCUAGCGAGACUGCCGGUAAUAAACCGGAGGAAGGUGGGAUGACGUCAAAUCAUCAUGCCCCUUAUGACCUGGGCUACACACGUGCUACAAUGGUUGGUACAACGAGUUGCGAGUCGGUGACGGCGAGCUAAUCUCUUAGAGCCAAUCUCAGUUCGGAUUGUAGGCUGCAACUCGCCUACAUGAAGUCGGAAUCGCUAGUAAUCGCGGAUCAGCACGCCGCGGUGAAUACGUUCCCGGGCCUU